GGUUUCGUGGUGUAGUUGGUUAUCACGUCAGUCUAACACACUGAAGGUCUCCGGUUCAAGUCCGGGCGNUUUUU
rnacentral:tRNA from 1 species